GAAAUGCUCUUUAGACGCUGGUGACUAUUACAUACCACUCUGCACUGAUUUUAGAAUUAUGUUUUGGGCACAUAUUUCUCCCUCAUCUAGAGGCUAGACCUGAGAUAGUAGCUCAUCACAGAAUGCAGCAUCAUCACAUUGUUGAACAUGUGGGACAGAUGACACAGGUGUUUGUGAGUAAACACUAGGGGCUACCAAUCAUUAAGCAUCCCUUAUGUGCCUGGAAGGAGGCUAAAUGGUUCACGCGGACUCUAUCUCAGAGCUAAAUUUAUCCCAGUGGUUCAGGGACCUGAGCCAUGAGCCACGGAGGAGACAGUCCCCCUUCAAGGCGGCAGCAAGGCCCCAGCCUUAAGAAGGAGACGGCUAUAUCCUGGAGCCUUUCCUAACUGCGACAGAAGUGAUCAUAGCAGAAAAGCUGCCAGAUGAAUAUCAUAUGAUUUCUUCACGGACACAUGUCUGCGAUGCCGGAAGAUGUGAGGGGCCUUUGCCGGACGACCAACGACUUUUCACGUGGCACAGAGCGGGCAGCCACAUGAGCACCAUCUUGCUCCACUUGGGGGCGUAGUGAGUAACGACUUCGACACUGACUCUACUCAGUCUCAAUGCGCCAACUCUGGCAGACUUAGUGGGGAUUGAAGACCAGCCAGAGUAACCUCACUCUGUCCCUCCCAGUGUGAGAUUUAAACGGUGCAGGGAAUGGGAAGCCUUGCCUUAUUUGCCACCAUGAGAAACUCAAAUUUAUUCGUUGACACUGAGAUCCGGUUCCUGGCCACAGCAUUGUAUUGGCAUUUUCCACAGAUGCCUUUCCUACCAGCUCCUCAUCCAAGACCCAGUGGCAGUAUGUCUUUACCAGCUGUGGCAUUAGCCCACAGGCUAAGCAAAUGGCCUAGCAUGUAUAAACUCAUGACCUACGUCACAAGCCUGCUCACUGAAGAGACUCCUUUGUGAGCAGGCUUAGGCAAAAGGGCUUAUGACCAAGAUCUUAAUCUAAAAAAAAGAAGGGAACCUGAAGGUGGCCAGAAAAGUCCCAGGUUCUUAGUCCCUGUGCUGGAUAGUAUGUCGAGUUGACACAAACUAGAGUCAUCUGAGAGAAGGGAACCUUAAUUAGGAAAAUACCUCUGUGGGUUGGAGAGAUGGCUCAGUGGUUAAGAGCACUGUCUGCUCUUCCAGAGGGUCCCGAGUUCAAUUCCCAGCAACCACAUGGUGGCUCACAACCAUCUGUAAUGAGAUCUGAUGCCCUUUUCUGGUGUGUCUGAAGAUAGCUGCAGUGUGCUCACAUACAUCAAAUGAAUAGAUAAAUAAAAUAUAUUUUAAAAAAAAGAAAAAAGAAAAAGAAAACACCUCCGGUAAGACCAGGCUGUAAACAAGCCUGUAGGGCAUUUUCUUAAUUAGUGAUUGAUGGGGAAAGGCCCAGCCCACGGUGGGUGGUGCCAUCCCUGGGCUGGUGGCCCUGGGUUCUAUGAGAAAGCAGGCUAUGCAAGCCAAGGGGAGCAAGCCAGCAAGCAGCACCCUGCCAUGCCUCUGCUAAUAUUAGCUCCUGGCUCCAGGUUUCCUGCCCUGCUUGAGUUCCUGUUCUGACUUCCUUCAGUGAUGAACAGUGCUGUGGGAAGUGUAAGCUGAGGAAACCCUUUCUUCCCCAACUUGCUUUUUGGCCAUGGUGUUUCAUUCCAGCAAUGAUAACUCUAGGACAUUCCUCCUACCCUGAGACCCUCCUCUGGCCCUGGAAACCCUGCCCCCAAACAAGCAUUCCAUUAGCCUGCACCACUGACCUAAGUGAUAUCAGCACCCAGAUGGCCCUGGGGUGGCCUCAAUCUCACUCUCUGCGACUAUAGUAUCCCCUGAGUGACCAGAGCCUUAGGCCUUUACUCCCACUGUCCUUAGCCAGGAAAUGGGAGAUUACUGAAUUGUCACCAGGAGUUCUCCCUUCCCUCGGUGGGUUGUGCCAACCCCAACCCUAAAACCAGCUAAGACUUCCAGAUGUAUCUAGAGCCUCUAAUACUUCUGUCUCAGUUAGGGUUUUCAUUGCUAUGAAGAGACACCAUGACCAAGGCAACUCUUAUAAAGGAAAGCAUUUAACUGGGGCUGGCUUACAGGUUCAGAGGUUCAGUCCAUUAUGGUCAUGGCAGCACCCAGGCAAAGUGUUGGAGAAGGAGUUGAGAGUUCUACCUCUUGAUUCACAGGCAGCAGAAGGAGACUGGGUUAACACUGGGCAUAGUUUGAACCUCAAAAGUGAGCCUCCAUGGUGGUGCACUUCCCCCAACAAGGCUGUACCUCCUAAUAGUGCCAUUCCUUAUGGGUCAAGCAUUCAAGCGCAUGAGUCUUUGGGGGCUGUUACUAUUCAAACCAUCACAACAUUUAAUAGAGUAAUGUAUCAAUUUGCCCAAUCUUUAACGGAUUAGAGAGCCUCCCCUCCCCCACCAGGAACCCAUAGCUUGGCCGGUGAAACACCAGUAGUGACUAGUCAUGUGACUGCUUCAGUUAGGAAAGUUUCAUGGUCUCAGUUUCGUUAGCCACAUUUCAGGUGUUUACAGGGCUCAUAGGUUACAUAUUGGCCAGUGCAGAGAAGGGCAGACUUCUAUCACACAGUGUUUUGGGCAUUAUUGCAUGUGAACAUUUCGUUCUGUUCUUUGGAUGAGACAAUGCUGAUGUCUUAGCUUGAUGGGAAGUUUUGAGAAAACACUUAGGACCCAAUCUUACAUCCUUUAUGACCGCUACACACACACCUUUCUCUGGAGUGGUUUCUUUUCAAAUUCUCUGAAGUUCCGUGUUCCUGAUCAGUUUCCUGUAAGUGUUUUGCUUCCAAAACAAAACCUUAUCGAUGGAUUGAUUGAGGGAACCAAAUGCCUUUCACAGACAAGACAGUCCAGGAGCACUGGCUAGUAGUCUGGGAUUUGUGAGGGCGUUAAGGGGUGAGAUGAAGCCACUGGGGCCCCCUCUUCCACUCACUUUGACAAGAUCAAGCAAAGUUAUCCAGGAGUGUUCCCAGUGCCCUGCCUGCUUUUUAUCCGUAGACACAAAUGUCAGCAAUGCAGGCUCUGGGAGGCGGCCCCUCUCCUGCCCAAGGUGAACACUCAAGCCCCUGCUUUAUUUUGCUGCUGUUUGGUUUCUGAGAUGGUAGCCCAGGCUGACCUCCUCUCUUCCCUGCUUUAGCCGGUGUUCUUUGUGGGUGCUAUCAGUAUCCAGAGGGAGCCUGAUUUCUAUGCCAACAGGCACUCCUUCCUUCAUCAUCCCUGACCCCAUGUAAGCUCCGACUUCUGGCUUGUUCAUCAUUGCAGCUCUGUAUUCUCAGUCCUGUUCAAAGUCUCCCCACCUUUAGAGAGACACUAUCAAACUGCUAUCAGUCAAAUUCAGCUCACCAGCACCUAUCUCCAGUGAGUCCAGCAAACACUUGUGGGGGGCUUAUGCUCCUCUCAGGAGUCAGGCUAGUUAGCAGACAGAGACACUGCAAGAUAACUGGGGCUGCAGUUCUGAUGAGGACAAGCUGUCAGGGAGUUCCUGUAAGGACACGGAAUCAUAAAUUACUCAGGCAACGACUGAUUGUGCCAACUCAAAAGCCAAGCGCUCUCUCUCUCUCUCUCUCUCUCUCUCUCUCUCUCUCUCUCUCUCUCUCUCUCUCUCUCUCUCUCUCUCUCUCUCUUGCUCUCACUCUCUCUUGCUAGCAAAGUCCAGAUUUUUGCAGUUACUUCCUUCCAGGUGAACAGGGGAUGAAUGUAAUUGGCUUAGACAGAGCCUGGCCAAUGAGAACACUCUCCGGGAGAGAUGGUCGUUGGUGCCUGCCCAUUUGGAAGACCUGGGACAGCUGCAAUCACAUAGUGGUUAUGGCCAUGCCAGCCAUGGAGGGUAAAGUAUCAGUGUGCAAAGGUUAUAAUUCAACUCAAUGCGCAUGAAGAUGGGCUAUCUUAAGGAAAGUGGAGGAGAGAAAACACUGAGAGACAAAGAGAAAAUGAACAAUAGGCAUUGCAGCAACACCACAGAGAGAAGAUGCUUACAGGAACAUCCUUUCUCUACCCAGCUGACUUCCCUGGAGCAGCUAGUUUCUUCCCCAGUCAAUCAAGAGCUGAAGCUGGGGUGGGCGGGGCACAUGCACAUGGGAAGUGGCUGGGAGGGAAUUGUGGAGGGGUGACUCAGGGGAGGCAUUAAAAGAGCCGAGGACAGAG